UAGAUACCCUGGUAGUCCGCACAGUAAACGAUGAAUACUCGCAGUGUGCGAUAUAAUGUAUGCUGCCAAGUGAAAACGUUAAGUAUUCCACCUGGGGAGUACGCCGGCAACGGUGAAACUCAAAGGAAUUGACGGGGGCCCGCACAAGCGGAGGAACAUGUGGUUUAAUUCGAUGAUACGCGAGGAACCUUACCCGGGCUUGAACUAAGCAGGAAGAUGGGCAGAGACGCCCGUUGUCUUCGGACCUGCU
rnacentral:rRNA from 1 species